UUUACUUCGGUAAGAGCGGCGGACGGGUGAGUAACGCGUGGGUAACCUACCCUGUACACACGGAUAACAUACCGAAAGGUAUGCUAAUACGGGAUAAUAUAUUUGAGAGGCAUCUCUUGAAUAUCAAAGGUGAGCCAGUACAGGAUGGACCCGCGUCUGAUUAGCUAGUUGGUAAGGUAACGGCUUACCAAGGCGACGAUCAGUAGCCGACCUGAGAGGGUGAUCGGCCACAUUGGAACUGAGACACGGUCCAAACUCCUACGGGAGGCAGCAGUGGGGAAUAUUGCACAAUGGGCGAAAGCCUGAUGCAGCAACGCCGCGUGAGUGAUGAAGGCCUUCGGGUCGUAAAACUCUGUCCUCAAGGAAGAUAAUGACGGUACUUGAGGAGGAAGCCCCGGCUAACUACGUGCCAGCAGCCGCGGUAAUACGUAGGGGGCUAGCGUUAUCCGGAUUUACUGGGCGUAAAGGGUGCGUAGGCGGUCUUUCAAGUCAGGAGUGAAAGGCUACGGCUCAACCGUAGUAAGCUCUUGAAACUGGGAGACUUGAGUGCAGGAGAGGAGAGUGGAAUUCCUAGUGUAGCGGUGAAAUGCGUAGAUAUUAGGAGGAACACCAGUUGCGAAGGCGGCUCUCUGGACUGUAACUGACGCUGAGGCACGAAAGCGUGNGGAGCAAACAGGAUUAGAUACCCUGGUAGUCCACGCUGUAANCGAUGAGUACUAGGUGUCGGGGGUUACCCCC
rnacentral:rRNA from 1 species